GUAUUAACAUUGUUUGCGCUCCGUAGAGCUCAAGAGACAUGCUUUUCGUUACAGGCAUCGUUGUAAAAAAUGUAGUGAACGCCUCGAGACGUCCGCCGGGUGCACAGGUGUGAGAUGUCGCGCCUCGAGGGCACUUUAGUUCAUUCGUUAAUGAUCCUUCCGCAGGUUCACCUACGGAAA
rnacentral:misc_RNA from 1 species